rnacentral:rRNA from 1 species
UCCCAAGUAGCACGGGGCCCGAGAAAUCCCGUGUGAAUCUGGCGGGACCACCCGCUAAGCCUAAAUAUUCCCUGGUGACCGAUAGCGGACAAGUACCGUGAGGGAAAGGUGAAAAGUACCCCGGGAGGGGAGUGAAAUAGAUCCUGAAACCGUGUGCCUACAAUCCGUCGGAGCCUCCUUGUGGGGUGACGGCGUGCCUUUUGAAGAAUGAGCCUGCGAGUUAGUGCUCAGUGGCGAGGUUAACCCGUGUGGGGAAGCCGUAGCGAAAGCGAGUCCGAAUAGGGCGUUUUAGUCGCUGGGUCUAGACCCGAAGCGGAGUGAUCUACCCAUGGCCAGGUUGAAGCGACGGUAAGACGUCGUGGAGGACCGAACCCACUUAGGUUGAAAACUGAGGGGAUGAGCUGUGGGUAGGGGUGAAAGGCCAAUCAAACUCCGUGAUAGCUGGUUCUCCCCGAAAUGCAUUUAGGUGCAGCGUCACGUGUUUCUUACCGGAGGUAGAGCUACUGGAUAGCUGAUGGGCCUCACCAGGUUACUGACGUUAGCCAAACUCCGAAUGCCGGUAAGUGAGAGCGUGGCAGUGAGACUGCGGGGGAUAAGCUCCGUAGUCGAGAGGGAAACAGCCCAGACCACCAUCUAAGGUCCCUAAGCGUGUGCUAAGUGGGAAAGGAUGUGGAGUUGCAUUGACAACCAGGAGGUUGGCUUAGAAGCAGCCACCCUUUAAAGAGUGCGUAAUAGC